AAAAAAUUCAUAAUAUAUUAAUAUUUAAGAAUUAUUAUUAAAAUAAAAUUAUUUAAAUUAAUACAAAUUUACAUCUAUUUUUGGAAGCUCUUUUUUCAAGAGUGAUUAUGAUAUAAUUCAAUUGACUUCAGCUUAAAAUUUGAAAUUAUCUUGAUUAUCUGAUUGAGCUUUUAGGAGCUUUAAGAAGAUCCCAAUUUAAAUUUACUUAAAACAUGAAGCCAUAAUAUUAAGCAUGAUCUGCAUUCAGAAACAGCUGGUACUUAAAUGCAAUGGAUAUUGAAGAAAAGGAGGUCAAACUUUGUCUAUAAAAAGAACGUCCACAAGGUACAUAUAAGAAUAAGACUUCCUACUUGAUUUUAAAAAAUUAAUAUAAUAUUUUUAUUUUUCAACAUCCUAUC